rnacentral:rRNA from 1 species
GUGCCAGCAGCCGCGGUAAUACGUAGGGGCCAAGCGUUGUCCGGAAUCAUUGGGCGUAAAGAGCUCGUAGGCGGCUCAGCGAAUCGGCCGUGAAAACCCGGAGCUCAACUCCGGGACGCCGGUCGAUACUGCUGUGGCUAGGGUCCGGUAGAGGAGAGUGGAAUUCCCGGUGUAGCGGUGAAAUGCGCAGAUAUCGGGAGGAGCACCAGUAGCGAAGGCGGCUCUCUGGGCCGGUACCGACGCUGAGGAGCGAAAGCGUGGGGAGCAAACAGGAUUAGAUACCCUGGUAGUCCACGCCGUAAACGUUGGGCACUAGGUGUGGCGGAUUGAUCAACGUCUGCCGUGCCGUAGCUAACGCGUUAAGUGCCCCGCCCUGGUGUGUGCCGCAAGGCUAAAACUCGUAAAAAUAUGUGAUGGUCCCCGCACAAGCGGCGGAGCAUGCGGCUUAAUUCGAUGCAACCCGAAGAACCUUACCUGGGUUUGA